UGAUGAGAUUGCUAAGUCCGAGCAAAACAACAAUGGUGUUUGUCAUACGUGAUUAAACAAGGACGCCACUUGAAAAUUUAGAACCUGUUUUGCGAGAAGAUACUCAGAAGUUCUGGUUUAGGUGGUGAUAGCAACAUUAAGUCUGCCCUGAGUCCAAUACAAGCUGUUGCCAUGGCAAAUAAUACAUUACUUUUGAAAGAGCACAAAGAGAUUCUGAAAACAUAAAUUGGAUUUUGGAUGACACAUUAGAGGGAGAGGUAGCAUCUGUGGAUAUAUCUACUAAAGAUAAUCUGAAUAAUCUGGUGAAAGCUGGUUUGCUAGUUUACUGUCGGAGAUAAGAAAAGCGAAAAAGUCUAAGCAUCAAAAUGGCAAGUGAAUGGAUGAUCACUAGAUUGAAUAUGUCAAUCCAUUGCUGAAGCUGUAUCUUUUAUUUCUUUGCUUAAUUAAUCAUUUCUGUAAGAUUGUGAUGCAAGUUUGUAACAUUUUAAACUUUAAUUAUGAAUAAAU